GUAGUCUCGCACAGAUGCAUAUCAAUAAGCGGAGGAAAAGAAACUAACAAGGAUUCCCCUAGUAACGGCGAAUGAAGCGGGAAGAGCUCAAAUUUGAAAUCUUAAAGGGUUUCCCUUUACGAAUUGUAGUUUAAAGAAGUGUUUUCUGUUGAGGUUUUGGUAAAAGUUCUUUGGAAUAGGACAUCAUAGAGGGUGAGAAUCCCGUAUUUGACCUUUACUUUCAACUUUGUGAUACACUUUCAAAGAGUCGGAUUGUUUGGGAAUGCAGUCCAAAAUGGGUGGUAGAUUUCAUCUAAAGCUAAAUAUUGGCGAGAGACCGAUAGCGAACAAGUACCGUGAGGGAAAGAUGAAAAGAACUUUGAAAAGAGAGUUAAACAGUACGUGAAAUUGUCAAAAGGGAAGCGUUCGACACCAGUGUUGUUUUUCUGAAAAUCAAUUAAAGAACUGUUUAUGCUAAGCUGUUUAGACUUUAUCAGCUAUCUGUUUAGUUUUGAGCUUUUCUUUAAUGCACUUUUCAGUUAACAAGUCAACAUCAAUUUCUUUUGCUGUAAAAAAGCUUGAGGAAGGUGGCUUGAGAUUCGUCUUAAGUGUUUAUAGCCUCUUGCCUAUGCAGUCGGAGAGAUUGAGGUCUGCAGCGUAGAUCCUUCGGGGCUAAAUGCAUUUGUGCUAAGUUAUAGCAUUUUAUAGACAACUUGUUGACUAUGAUUUGUCUUGUAGCUUACUCGCUUAUGUUAUUUUACCUACGCUUAGGAUGUUGAAGACUCUACAGAGAUA
rnacentral:rRNA from 1 species